UGGAAGUAAAGUCGUAACAAGGUCUCCGUUGGUGAACCAGCGGAGGGAUCAUUA
rnacentral:rRNA from 2 species